UACGUAGGGUGCGAGCGUUAAUCGGAAUUACUGGGCGUAAAGCGUGCGCAGGCGGUUUUGUAAGCCAGAUGUGAAAUCCCCGGGCUCAACCUGGGAACUGCCUUUGUGACUGCAAGGCUUGAGUGCGGCAGAGGGGGAUGGAAUUCCGCGUGUAGCAGUGAAAUGCGUAGAUAUCUGGAGGAACACCGGUGGCGAAGGCGGCAUCCUGGACCGGUAUUGACACUGAGGCGCGAAAGCCAGGGGAGCAAACGGG
rnacentral:rRNA from 1 species